rnacentral:rRNA from 1 species
UACGGGGGGGGCAAGCGUUGUUCGGAAUUACUGGGCGUAAAGGGCUCGUAGGCGGCCAACUAAGUCCGACGUGAAAUCCCAAGGCUUAACCUUGGAAUUGCGUCGGAUACUGGAUGGCUUGAAUUCGGGAGAGGGAUGCAGAAUUCCAGGUGUAGCGGUGAAAUGCGUUGAUAUCUACAGGAACUCCGGUGGCGAAGGCGGCACGCUGGACCUUUUCUGACGCUGAGGCGCGAAAGCCAGGGGAGCGAACGGG